rnacentral:rRNA from 1 species
AGAACGAACGCUGGCGGCAGGCUUAACACAUGCAAGUCGAACGCCCCGCGAGGGGAGUGGCAGACGGGUGAGUAACGCGUGGGAAUCUACCCAGAACUUCGGAACAACUGAGGGAAACUUCAGCUAAUACCGGAUACGCCCUACGGGGGAAAGAUUUAUCGGUUCUGGAUGAGCCCGCGUUGGAUUAGCUAGUUGGUGGGGUAAUGGCCCACCAAGGCGACGAUCCAUAGCUGGUCUGAGAGGAUGAUCAGCCACACUGGGACUGAGACACGGCCCAGACUCCUACGGGAGGCAGCAGUAGGGAAUCUUGCGCAAUGGGCGAAAGCCUGACGCAGCCAUGCCGCGUGAAUGAUGAAGGUCUUAGGAUUGUAAAAUUCUUUCAGCGGGUACGAUAAUGACGGUACCCGCAGAAGAAGCCCCGGCUAACUUCGUGCCAGCAGCCGC